rnacentral:piRNA from 1 species
UAUGGAUGCUCUAUGAAACCCACUUU